GCGGGUGUGGCGGAAUUGGCAGACGCACCAGACUUAGGAUCUGGCGCCGCAAGGCGUGGGGGUCGCGGGUUCGAAUCCCGUCUUCCGCU
rnacentral:tRNA from 1 species